UGCCAGCCGCCGCGGUAAUACGAAGGGACCUAGCGUAGUUCGGAAUUACUGGGCUUAAAGCGCACGUAGGCGGACUAGUCAGUCAGAGGUGAAAUCCCGAGGCUUAACCUCGGAACUGCCUUUGAUACUGCUAGUCUAGAGUUCGAGAGAGGUGAGUGGAAUUCCGAGUGUAGAGGUGAAAUUCGUAGAUAUUCGGAGGAACACCAGUGGCGAAGGCGGCUCACUGGAUCGAUACUGACGCUGAGGUGCGAAAGCGUGGGGAGCAAACAGGAUUAGAUA
rnacentral:rRNA from 1 species